UGCUGUAGCUGUUGGAAAGGCAUAGGUUUGCAAAACUGAAGAUGUAGGUUCGAAUCCUACCAGUACC
rnacentral:tRNA from 1 species